GGAGGUGGUCACGUUGUCCCGGCAGUAUGGAGGUUGUCCCGGCAGGAUGGAGGUGGUCACGUUGUCCCGGCAGUAUGGAGGUUGUCCCGGCAGGAUGGAGGUGGUCACGUUGUCCCGGCAGGAUGGAGGUGGUCACGUUGUCCCGGCAGGAUGGAGGUGGUCACGUUGUCCCGGCAGUAUGGAGGUGGUCACGUUGUCCCGGCAGUAUGGAGGUGGUCACGUUGUCCCGGCAGGAUGGAGGUGGUCACGUUGUCCCGGCAGGAUGGAGGUGGUCACGUUGUCCCGGCAGUAUGGAGGUGGGUGUCCCGGCAGUAUGGAGGUGGUCACGUUGUCCCGGCAGUAUGGAGGUGGUCACGUUGUCCCGGCAGUAUCGGCCUUUAGUGACGUAGAGAAGUCUCAGAUCUUUGAGUUCAGCUCAGGAACAAACGGGGCAAAAACUAAACAGUUUACUAUUUAGGUCGGUGUGACAAGUUCUAGUUUUUUUGACACUUUUUAUCCAAGUUUUUUUUUGCUUUAACUCCAUUUCAUUUUCAAAGGGUUGG